rnacentral:rRNA from 1 species
UACGUAGGGGGCUAGCGUUGUCCGGAAUCAUUGGGCGUAAAGAGCUCGUAGGCGGUUUGUUGCGUCGGCUGUGAAAUCCCGAGGCUCAACCUCGGGUCUGCAGUCGAUACGAGCAAACUAGAGUGUUGCAGGGGAGACUGGAAUUCCUGGUGUAGCGGUGAAAUGCGCAGAUAUCAGGAGGAACACCGGUGGCGAAGGCGGGUCUCUGGGCAAUAACUGACGCUGAGGAGCGAAAGCGUGGGGAGCGAACAGG